GCGGGUGUAGUUCAAUGGUAGAACUUCAGCUUCCCAAGCUGAGAGCGCGGGUUCGAUUCCCGUCACCCGCUCCC
rnacentral:tRNA from 1 species